GUGUAGAAUGGCGAUCUGCUUGCAACAUCUGUCAUCCAUCUUGUCUGGCUACAACAUCUGCCACCCUGGGGAAGCCCUGGUUGAUUGGCCUGUCUGCUCCUUUCCUCCUUUACUGCAUCCCUCCCCAAGCUGAGCCCUUGAUGACCUUGUCUGGUAGAGGACUGUCCUUUGGUCAAGGUGUAUGGGUAACUGCCCUCCCCUGCUGCAGCUUCUACAUAAAUUCCUUUAGGAUAGAGGUGGGUAAAACAUUAGGAAGAGUUGCUCUUCACUG
rnacentral:sRNA from 1 species